rnacentral:rRNA from 1 species
UUUGAAGAGCUUGCUCAGAUAUGACGAUGGACAUUGCAAAGAGUGGCGAACGGGUGAGUAACACGUGGGAAACCUACCUCUUAGCAGGGGAUAACAUUUGGAAACAGAUGCUAAUACCGUAUAACAAUAGCAACCGCAUGGUUGUUACUUAAAAGAUGGUUCUGCUAUCACUAAGAGAUGGUCCCGCGGUGCAUUAGUUAGUUGGUGAGGUAAUGGCUCACCAAGACGAUGAUGCAUAGCCGAGUUGAGAGACUGAUCGGCCACAAUGGGACUGAGACACGGCCCAUACUCCUACGGGAGGCAGCAGUAGGGAAUCUUCCACAAUGGGCGAAAGCCUGAUGGAGCAACGCCGCGUGUGUGAUGAAGGGUUUCGGCUCGUAAAACACUGUUGUAAGAGAAGAAUGACAUUGAGAGUAACUGUUCAAUGUGUGACGGUAUCUUACCAGAAAGGAACGGCUAAAUACGUGCCAGCAGCCGCGGUAAUACGUAUGUUCCAAGCGUUAUCCGGAUUUAUUGGGCGUAAAGCGAGCGCAGACGGUUAUUUAAGUCUGAAGUGAAAGCCCUCAGCUCAACUGAGGAAUUGCUUUGGAAACUGGAUGACUUGAGUGCAGUA